rnacentral:tRNA from 1 species
GGGCGGACGUAGCCAAGUGGAUUAAGG